CCCGUGAGCCCCCGCGGCGCCCUCUCUCCCGCGCUGUUUGUGGGACAGCAUGGCUGCGGAGCUGCGUGUGUUUCAGAGCAUGACACCAUGUCAAGAAGAGGUAAAAACAUUGCCGUGGCUGGGGAGCUGAUUUACCCACAGUGCGCCUGCACAAUGGAGGAAAUGAUCCUGCAGAAUCCUGGUGCUGCUGUUGCCUAAAGAUAGCUUUGGCCAGAGGGCAGCUGCUAUGUUGGGCUCCAGGCUGAUCUAGAGGGAAGAUUGUUCUGGACUGAGUGUCACAAAUGACUGCUGAGAUGUGAACUGGCCACCUGUGUGAAGCCACAGGCACCUCACUGCUCAGUGCUUGCUGCAGCCACACCACAGGACCUGAUGCACAGCUGGCUGGAGGAAAAAGUGGUUCCUUGCUUUCUUCUGUUCCAGAAUAAAAUAAGUUGUGGAAAAUCUUA